rnacentral:rRNA from 1 species
AGAGUUUGAUCAUGGCUCAGGAUGAACGCUAGCUACAGGCUUAACACAUGCAAGUCGAGGGGAAACGACAUCGAAAGCUUGCUUUUGAUGGGCGUCGACCGGCGCACGGGUGAGUAACGCGUAUCCAACCUGCCCACCACUUGGGGAUAACCUUGCGAAAGUAAGACUAAUACCCAAUGAUAUCUCUAGAAGACAUCUGAAAGAGAUUAAAGAUUCAUCGCUGAUAGAUAGGCAUGCGUUCCAUUAGGCAGUUGGCGGGGUAACGGCCCACCAAACCGACGAUGGAUAGGGGUUCUGAGAGGAAGGUCCCCCACAUUGGUACUGAGACACGGACCAAACUCCUACGGGAGGCAGCA